rnacentral:rRNA from 1 species
UACGGGGGGGGCAAGCGUUGUUCGGAAUUACUGGGCGUAAAGGGCUCGUAGGCGGCCAACUAAGUCAUACGUGAAAUCCCUCGGCUUAACCGGGGAACGUGCGUCUGAUACUGGAUGGCUUGAGUUCGGGAGAGGGAGUGCGGAAUUCCAGGUGUAGCGGUGAAAUGCGUAGAUAUCAGGAGGAACACCGGUGGCGAAGGCAGAUCUCUGGGCCGUAACUGACGCUGAGGAGCGAAAGCAUGGGGGAGCGAACAGG